rnacentral:rRNA from 1 species
AACGAACGCUGGCGGCAGGCCUCAAACAUGCAAGUCUAGGGGGUGUAGCAAUACAUCACCGGCGGACGGGUGCGUAACGCGUGGGAAUAUACCUAUCGAUUCGGAACAACUGAGGGAAACUUCAGCUAAUACCGAAUACGUCCUAACGGAGAAAGAUUUAUCGUCGAUAGAUUAGCCCGCGUUCGAUUAGCUAGUUGGUGGGGUAACGCCCACCAAGGCGACGAUCGAUAGCUGUUCUGAGAGGAAGAUCAGCCACACUGGGACUGAGACACGGCCCAGACUCCUACGGGAGGCAGCAGCUGGGAAUCUUGGACAAUGGGGGAAACCCUGAUCCAGCCAUGCCGCGUGAGUGAUGAAGGCCUUCGGGUUGUAAACGUACUUUGUCUAGGGAAGAAACGGUAGAGUCCUAAUAUAGGCUUGCUAAUGACGGUACCUGAAGAAUAAGACACCGGCUAACUACGUGCCAGCAGCCGCGGUAAU